GGCGAGGGGGGUGGAGCGGCCGCCGCCAAUAUCAUCGUCGUCGUCGUUGACGGACGGACGGACGUCGGUCGGAGUAGGAGCGUCGCCGGGAAAGAGCCGCUGAGUGGCUAAAACGAUGUCCCUUCAACCAUGGGCCAAAAAAUCUGCAUCUGCUCUCGUGGGAUAAUCACCAUCGACAAUAAGCGUUACUUCUUUAUUCAAAAUCUGGACGAAGGGGGUUUCAGCUAUGUGGAUCUGGUGGAGAGCGUUCAGGACGGCAAGUUCUACGCCUUGAAACGUAUCAUCUGCCACGACAAAGAGGACCGGAAGAAUGCUCUCACCGAGGUGGAGAUGCACCGAAUUUUCAGCCAUCCAAAUGUCCUGCCCCUGGAAGGGUACAGCAUCGUGGACAAAAGUCCAAAGUGUGAAACUUGGCUGCUCCUGCCCUACAUUCAGAAUGGCUCACUUUGGACAGUGCUUGAGAAGUUGAGAGAUGCUCAUAACUUCAUGCCUGAAGAGCAGAUCCUGAACAUCUUUCUAGGACUCUGCAAGGGACUGAAGGCCAUCCAUGACAAGGGCUACGCGCACAGGGAUGUGAAGCCCACCAACGUUCUCCUAGAUGACAAUCUGCAGCCCAUGCUGAUGGACCUGGGAUCGAUGAACAAAGCAAAAAUUGAAGUCAAAGGGUCACGGGAAGCUAUGACAAUCCAGGACUGGGCAGCACAGCGAUGUACCAUAUCCUACCGAGCCCCUGAGCUCUUUACUGUGGAAAGUCACUGCAUUAUAGAUGAGCGCACAGACAUAUGGUCCCUGGGAUGUGUGCUGUACGCAAUGAUGUUCCUGGAAGGACCGUACGAUGGUAUCUUCCAGAAAGGGGAUUGUGUCGCUUUGGCUGUACAGAACCCAAUAACCAUUCCAGAAAACUGCAGGUACACACAGUCUCUGCAACAUCUGCUAAGCUCUAUGAUGGUUGUUAACCUCCAAGAGAGACCGAAUAUAUCCUGGGUGUUGAACCAGACUGAGCAACUGCAGCCCGCGGGAUCCGUCCAGGAGACCAAAAUUGUCUGAUCUUGGCCGUGCAAACCUGGAGGGGCUCCAUCUGUUGAAUUUAUCAUCUGUCAGACUUGCACCAUUUCUCCACGGGGGGUAAAGCGCCGAACAGCCUACCUUCAGCAUGUCUGUCACCAGGGCAGGACCCUGUGAGAUCCCACACCAUCUUCCACUCAACGUUCUUUCGAUUUUCGAUGGGGAAAUCGAGUGGAUGAAAUCGCACAUUCUUCACCACUUUCCCUCAGGAAUUGGCUGCUUCUUUUGUUCCGUUUCUUCCUCUCGUCUCGUCAUCAUAGCCACUGAAUCACUCUGUAGCUGCUAUGAUUCCACGCAGACGUUAUGCGCACGGCGUCCUGGUGGAGAAAUGGCCUCGCCGUGUGUGAGAGACUUGAACUUUUUUUCCCUUUCAGUCACGAUCCUGGAGAAUAUUUCCGCCAGCGUUCACCAGCUAUGAAGUUAUCGCAACUGGAGUGCACUGAUCCCGACUGCACUCUCAGGGGAUAAGUGAAAGAGUGGCCUUGCAAUGCUAAACUCUGCACAAGCAGUGCAAAUAGGACACAAUAUAUGAAGGUAGACUUCAACAGCAAACUCUGCUUCCUGGUUGUUAGUUCCAGAGAACUAACUGAAUAAGGAUUAUACUUCAAUGACAAGUGUGGAAACCUCUCAGCUAUCUUUUGCACUUCAUCCUUGCAAACUCCACCUGGUCUUGCAUAUAGAGGUUAGGGGUUGGUUUUAAUUUGUGUUGCAUGCUUACUUUGGGACCCUAAGGGUCAUGGCAACCAUCUCUCUAAUAUUUUGCAAGACUUUUUUUGAAUUGGAUAAGGUCUUUUUUUCACCCCCUAUCUUUCACCCCAAAACCCUUCCCCACUUGCACAGCACGACUAAGUUCUGGACUUGAAAUCAGCGCAGUGAUUCUGGUUUCAGAAUGAGCAAGUGUGAAUCCAGCCACGGCUCAGCAAACUGCGAGGAAGCCGAGCCUAGGAUCUCUUCAAAUCAAAGCAGAUAGAUGGAAGACGAACCAGGGGCGGCUCGGUGGCACAGCGGUAGAGUUGCUGCCUCGCAGCGCCAGAGACCCAGGUUCGAUCCUGACUACGAGUGCUGUCUGUACGGAGUUUGUAGGUUCUCCCCAUGACCGCGUGGAUAUUCUCUGAAAUCUUUGGUUUCCUCCCACACUCCAAAGACCUGCAGGUUUGUAGGUUAAUUGGCUUGGUAUAAGUGUAAAUUGUCCCUAAUGUGUGUAGGGUGAUGUUAAUGUGUGGGGAUCGCCACUUGGUGUGGACUCGGAGGGCCGAAGGGCCUGUUUCCGCGCUGUAUCUUUUUAAAAAAACAAAUUUUCCUCAAUGCUGCACCACCCUUUCAGGAAAUACCACCUCCAACUCUGUUCACUCCUUUCUGCGGGAGCUUCUUUAGACCGAUCCCUGCCACUUUACGAGCAUUUAUUCCACGUCUGUUCAAGUUUAAGAGCCAUGUCUUUUGGGAAUGCCCACUUGCCCGUUUGCCACCUGCGAUUGAUUGAGUCAUUUCCACAAACAGAAGUGCGAAAGCUUUCAGUCAAACUUUUCUGCAGAAAGCUUUCAGUUCCUUGUUGGAACUUGUACGCGCAGAGGCCUGUUAGUAGUUAACAUAUUUCUUCCUUCCGCUGCAUUGUACUCCACCCUCUGAACCUCGAUCAGUUCUAAGCAACAGUGUAUUGAACGCUAGAAAAUAGCAGGAGUGGGCCACCUGUUCUACUAUUCACAAUAAUCAUGGCAUUUCUGCCCCAAACUUCAAUACCUUUAUCAGUGCCAAUUCCACAUUACCCUCAAUUCCUUGGUCUUUCAAAAAUUUAAGUAACUCUUCUUUUUAAAUAACUUUUAAAUAUCUUUUGAAUUAACUUUUAAAAGGGCGGCAAGGUGGCGGAGCAGUAGAGUUGCUGCCUUACAGCGCCAGAUGUCGUGGUUCAAUCUUGACUACGGGUGCCAUCUGUACGGGGUUUGUGUGUACUCCUCGUGACCUGCGUGGAUUUUCUCUGGGAGCUCCAAUUUCCUCCCAUAUUCCAAAUACGUGCAGGUUUGUAGGUCAAUUGACUUUGGUAAAAUUGUAAAUUGUUCCUAGUGUGUGUGUAGGAUAGUGUUGGUGUGCGAGGAUCGCUGGUAGGCGCAGACUCGGUUGGCCGAAGGGCCUGUUUCCGGAUGCUGCAUCUCUAAACUAAACUACAUCUGAAAAAAGGAUUGAGAUGCAGAGCAUGUUUAUCAGUGCCUAAAAAAAGGUGAGCAGCAUGGUGCUGUGAGCCAUCAGAGGCCUGCAUAGUUGAUUAGUCUUUCUAUUUUGGCUCAUAUGGAGGAUCUAGAAAAUGGAGAGGAAGAGACAUUUAUCUUAUUUUAUUUUUAUCAUGGAGAGACAUCCUUUCUGAAGGACUCGUGAUUACUUGCUGCCUUUAAUUAUUGGAAGAAAUGUGAGUGUUUCGUUUUUAAUGUGGAGCAGGCGGAUAGAGGUACUAAAUGCUGCAAACGACAAUUCCCAAUUCAGCUUAAAAAUGCAGUGCAAAUUUAAAGAAGGAAAACCUUAGGACUUUAAUGUACAAUGGAUGUUGCAAUGGUGCUAUGGAAGCCAAACUCCUGGAGUUGUUGUAUGUAGUGAAUAGGAACUGUACCAUUUACUGUAUGGGCUUUUCUAUAAUGUUUCAAUGUGUUGCAACACAGCUCUAGACGCCCGGGUUCGAUUCUGACCUCGGGUGCUGCCUAUGUGGAGUUUGCACGUUCUCCCUGUGAUUGUAUCCCAAAGACGUGUGGGUCUCUAGGUGAAUUGGCUUCUGCAAAAUUGCCUCGCACGUGUAGGGAGUGGAUGCGAAAGUGGGGAUAACACACAGAACUAGUGUGAGCGGGUGAUCGCUGGUCAGCGUGGACUCGGUUGGCCAAAGGGCCUGUUUCCAUGCUGUAUCUCUAAAAUUAAAUCUAUUAUAGAGUAAUAAAGCAGAGAAGGAAGCCAUUCAUUCACCUUUGCGACCCCACUUUGAAAGAGCCUUGUAAUUAGUCCUAUCCCCAUUAAAUCAGGUUCUGUUAACUCGGUAAAAUGUCUCACAAUAUUAGAAGCUGGGAGUAUUUUGUACAGUCACCAAUAAUGCUGCAUCAUUCAGCAAGAUCGUCGACAACCCUGUAGCUCUGCAUUUUCCUGCCAGAACCCAAUAUCCUCUGUGAUUCACUGUGUCUAGAAAUUGAUCGAUCGCAACCUUGGAAGCACUCGACGACUACUCUCUGCAGUAGACAAUUCUGAUCGUUUUCAAGCGCCUGCCCAAAAAACAGGAUUAGAGGGAGAGAGCAUAGGACCAUUCAGGUUUAUUUUCACGCUUUAAUCUUCAGCAUUGGCAUUGCUGGCUUCACUUCAGACCAAAGAAAAUGCUGAACUUUUCAAUAUUAUAUCACCAGUGCAAUUAUUUAUGCAUCUUCUUUCAGAAGUCAACCGAGUAAUCUUUUUCUACUUGUAUGCUGUCUGUGGGAUUUUUGCUUGACUCAAAAUGGGCAACAUUUGUCUGUACACCAAAUCAUAGGGAUAUUGUACAAAGCAAUAUAGUGUCACUGCCGUCAUUUGUUGGCACAAAGUCAUUAUUGUAAAUUACUGGGCCAAUUGUAUUUGAUCUGAUUCCAUUGUUAUAGCAUCAGUAGAUAAAGUCACUUUUUUUUGGAUGUUGUAAUUCCUCAAGAGCCGCAUUAUAGGAUUUUGGUCGCUUUCUGAAUUUGUACUCCCCAUUGAUGCCUUGUCCUAAUUUUUCUAUAAUAUCCUGUGUGUGUAUGUGUGUAAUCGAUGUGUUCUGUCUGCUAUCCAGUUAUUUGCAUGUCUUUAAGAUAAAAUAGUCUGAAAUUGUUUGUUGAA